AAUCAACGCUGGCGGCGUGCCUCAGACAUGCAAGUCGAACGAUUAAGACUUCCUUCGGGAAGUGCAUAAAGUGGCGCACGGGUGAGUAACACGUAAGUAAUCUACCCUCGAGUGGGGAAUAACGUUCGGAAACGAACGCUAAUACCGCAUAAUGCAGCGGCAUCGCAAGAUGACAGUUGUUAAAGGAGUAAUUCGCUUGAGGAGGAGCUUGCGGCAGAUUAGCUAGUUGGUAAGGUAACGGCUUACCAAGGCUACGAUCUGUAUCCGGUCUAAGAGGACGGUCGGACACACUGACACUGAAUAACGGGUCAGACUCCUACGGGAGGCAGCAGUCGGGAAUUUUGGGCAAUGGGCGAAAGCCUGACCCAGCAACGCCGCGUGAAGGAUGAAGUAUUUCGGUAUGUAAACUUCGAAAGAAUGGGAGGAAUAAAUGACGGUACCAUUUAUAAGCUCCGGCUAACUACGUGCCAGCAGCCGCGGUAAAAC
rnacentral:rRNA from 1 species